GACAGAGGGUGCAAACGUUGUUCGGAAUUACUGGGCGUAAAGCGUGCGCAGGCGGUUCGUUGUGUCUGAUGUGAAAGCCCCGGGCUCAACCUGGGAAUGGCAUUGGAAACUGGCGAGCUAGAGUGUGGCAGAGGGGGGUGGAAUUCCGCGUGUAGCAGUGAAAUGCGUAGAGAUGCGGAGGAACACCGAUGGCGAAGGCAGCCCCCUGGGCUGACACUGACGCUCAGGCACGAAAGCGUGGGGAGCAAACAGG
rnacentral:rRNA from 1 species